CGGACGGGUGAGUAACGCGUGGGUAACCUGCCUCAUACAGGGGGAGUAACAGUUAGAAAUGACUGCUAAUACCGCAUAAGCGCACAAAACCGCAUGGUUUGGUGUGAAAAACUGAGGUGGUAUGAGAUGGACCCGCGUCUGAUUAGCUAGUUGGAGAGGUAACGGCUCACCAAGGCAACGAUCAGUAGCCGACCUGAGAGGGUGACCGGCCACAUUGGGACUGAGACACGGCCCAAACUCCUACGGGAGGCAGCAG
rnacentral:rRNA from 1 species